rnacentral:rRNA from 1 species
UAGAGACUCAGAGCUGCAUAUCAAUAAGCGGAGGAAAAGAAACUAACAAGGAUUCCCUUAGUAACGGCGAGUGAAGCGGGAAGAGCUCAAAUUUGAAAUCUUCAAGGUUUUACCUUGACGAAUUGUAGUUUAAAGAAGUGUUUUCUGUUGGAGUUUUGGUAAAAGUUCUUUGGAAUAGGACAUCAUAGAGGGUGAGAAUCCCGUAUUUGACCAUUUCUUCCAGCUGUGUGAUACACUUUCAAAGAGUCGGAUUGUUUGGGAAUGCAGUCCAAAAUGGGUGGUAAAUUUCAUCUAAAGCUAAAUAUUGGCGAGAGACCGAUAGCGAACAAGUACCGUGAGGGGAAGAUGAAAAGAACUUUGAAAAGAGAGUUAAACAGUACGUGAAAUUGUCAAAAGGGAAGCGUUUGACACCAGUGUUGUUUUCUCGAAAAUCAAUUAAAAAUGACCGGAUUUUGUGUUGUAUUGACUUUAUCAGCUUUCUGCACUUUUUUCUUGUCUUUUUUAAUGCACUUUUCGUUUAACAAGUCAACAUCAAUUUCUUUUGUUGUAAAAGAGGUCAUUGGAAGGUGGCUUUCACUUCGGUGAAAGUGUUUAUAGCCUUUGGACUUCUGCAAUCGGAGAGAUUGAGGUCUGCAGCGUAGAUCCUUCGGGGUUAGAUACAUUUGUGCUAAGUUAUAGUUUUUCAUAGACAACAUGUUGACUAUGAUUAAUCAUGUAGCUUACUCGCUUAUGCUAUUUUACCUACGCUUAGGAUGUUG